rnacentral:rRNA from 1 species
UCAGGAUGAACGCGUAGCGGCAGGCUAACACAUGCAAGUCGAGGGGCAACGCGAGUAGCAAUACUUGGCGGCGACCGGCGCAAGGGUGCGUAACGCGUGAGCAACAUGCCCGUAUCAGGGGGAUAAUCCAGGGAAACUUGGUCUAAUACCCCAUAGUAAUUUUGUAAGGCAUCUUAUAAGAUUUAAAGCUUUGGUGGAUACGGAUUGGCUCGCGUGACAUUAGCUGGAUGGUAAGGUAACGGCUUACCAUGGCUAUGAUGUCUAGGGGUUCUGAGAGGAAGGUCCCCCACACUGGAACCUGAGACACGGUCCAGACUCCUACGGGAGGCAGCAGUGAGGAAUAUUGGACAAUGGAUGGAAAUCUGAUCCAGCCAUGCCGCGUGAAAGGAAGAAGGUCCUAUGGAUUGUAAACUUCUUUUGUAUGGGAGGCAAUAAGGCCUACGAGUAGGUUGAUGAGAGUACCAUACGAAUAAGCACCGGCUAACUCCGUGCCAGCAGCAGC